rnacentral:rRNA from 1 species
AACGAACGCUGGCGGCAUGCCUAACACAUGCAAGUCGAACGAGAACGUCGGGCUUAGUGGCGCACGGGGUCGUAACGCGGGGAAAACUGCCCUUAGGUUCGGAAUUACUCCCCGAAAGGGGUGCUAAUACCGGAUAAUGUUUUCGGACCAAAGAUUUAUCGCAUUUGGAUGGGCGCGCGUUGGUUUAGCUAGUUGGUAGGGUAAAAGCCUACCAAGGCGACGAUCGAUAGCUGCGCGGAGAGGAUGAUCAGCCACACUGGCACUGAGACACGGACCAGAAUCGUAGGGGAGGGAGCAGUAGGGAAUAUUGGACGAGGGAGGAAAGCGUGGUCAAGCCAUGUCGCGUGAGUGAUGAAGGGCUUAGGGUUGUAAAGCUCUUUUAGCCGAGAUGAUAAUGACGGUACCGGGAGAAUAAGCUCCGGCUAACUACGUG